rnacentral:misc_RNA from 1 species
ACGAGUUAGGGUCUUCUAGGCCCGACCUCCCAACCCUAUGUUUACUACACCUAUGUUGCUUCGGCGGGCCCGUCUCACGACCGCCGGGGGACGGUAAGAUGUCCUCUGGCCCGUGCUCGCCGGUGGCCAACUUCAACAAAUUCUUACCGAAUCGUGUUCAAUGUCUGAGUAUGAAUUCUUAAUUAAAACAA